rnacentral:lncRNA from 1 species
UUAGGUAGUAAAUCUCAAUUGAAUUUUAAACUUAAGUUACUAAGUUUUUGAAAUGACUAUUGUUAGAUUUUUUCCGACAUGUGAGCUUAAUGUAGGCCUCGAUAUACAUAUCACGCUGUCAAUUUACGGGUCCAUUUAAAAGUGAUCAGAUAUGGUUAAACAGAAUUAGGCCUUAAUGCAUCGGGUUUAGGUAUAGGCUUAUAUGUACGGAUAUUAUUUUUGUAAUUUCGCGUUUUAUGAUCGGUAAAAUAUAAAAUACAAA